UCACCGCUGAGGGGAAAGUCCCCGUGCCUUGGGCAGAGAGUGUCAAUGGCAGAUCCGUGAGGUCUGAGGCUGUGCGUGAUGGAGAUGCCCCGUGCAGAUUCGUAGCGCCAGACUUGGGUCCUUUCGCAGCAGCACAGCCAUGCCGUGAGCGUCUACUUCAAGGCGCCAACCUGACGGGGCUCACUCUU
rnacentral:RNase_MRP_RNA from 1 species